rnacentral:misc_RNA from 1 species
GAUCAGGCGAAAUCCUAAGGAAAAUUGAUUUGAAAAAUUCGACAUGGAUCUUAAUCCACCUGCAGGGGAGGACUAUGCACACCCACAGAUAUGUUUUUUCCAUGUGCUCUUCAAGGCAGCAGCAUUAGCGUUUUAUAUUCUGUCAGCUUUAUUUGUUGAUAGUUUUGUUAUCAUCUUUGUGGUAACUGUUCUUUUAGCUGCUCUUGACUUUUGGGUGGUUAAGAACGUCAGUGGACGUAUUCUUGUGGGUUUAAGGUGGUGGAAUGAAAUAGAUGACAAUGGCGAGAGUGUGUGGAGAUUUGAGUGCCUUGAUCAAGAGUCAAUGGCUCGCAUGAACAAGAAGGAUUCCUGGCUGUUUUGGUGGACUUUGUACCUAACAGCUGUUGCUUGGUUCUUUCUCGCGAUAUUCUCCCUCAUUAGGUUCCAAGCUGAUUAUCUUCUCGUUGUUGGAGUUUGCUUGACUCUCAGCGUCGCAAAUAUUGUUGGUUUUACUAGAUGCCGCAAAGAUGCUAAGAAGCAGCUUCAAGCAUUUGCAACCCAGACCCUCACUUCUCGGUUCUCCUCUACUCUACAGUCGGCAUUUAGUGUUGUUUGAACAAUUAAUACAGAACAAGCUACUCGUGAGAGGAAACUGGUCGUCAGUGUCCACCUCUACGAACAAUCAUGUAUUGAUUAUAUAAUGGUGGUUUGUAUACGCUGUGAAAUUAUGAUGGCACAUAUCGGAAGGAUGCUUAGGAGAUUUUGACAUGGUGUUAAUUUGGACCUCUCCUUUAUUGAGGUCUUGUACAUGCAGAACAUGAACGAACUGGGAAAACGUUUUUGUUCCUUUCAGUUUUCAUGAAUCCAAUUGCUUCAUUGUAUUUUUAUUUUUUUUGCACCGCACGGCUGGUGAAUCGACGUAUGGGCCAUAUGCAUA